CUUGAGUACAGUAGAGGUGGGCGGAAUUCGUGGUGUAGCGGUGAAAUGCUUAGAUAUCACGAAGAACUCCGAUUGCGAAGGCAGCUCACUGGACUGCAACUGACACUGAUGCUCGAAAGUGUGGGUAUCAAACAGGAUUAGAUACCCUGGUAGUCCACACAGUAAACGAUGAAUACUCGCUGUUUGCGAUAUACAGUAAGCGGCCAAGCGAAAACAUUAAGUAUUCCACCUGGGGAGUACGCCGGCAACGGUGAAACUCAAAGGAAUUGACGGGGGCCCGCACAAGCGGAGGAACAUGUGGUUUAAUUCGAUGAUACGCGAGGAACCUUACCCGGGCUUAAAUUGCAGUGGAAUGAUGUGGAAACAUGUCAGUGAGCAAUCACCGCUGUGAAGGUGCUGCAUGGUUGUCGUCAGCUCGUGCCGUGAGGUGUCGGCUUAAGUGCCAUAACGAGCGCAACCCUUAUCUUUAGUUACUAACAGGUUAUGCUGAGGACUCUAGAGAGACUGCCGUCGUAAGAUGUGAGGAGGGUGGGGAUGACGUCAAAUCAGCACGGCCCUUACGUCCGGGGCUACACACGUGUUACAAUGGGGGGUACAGAAGGCAGCUAGCGGGUGACCGUAUGCUAAUCCCAAAAGCCUCUCUCAGUUCGGAUCGAAGUCUGCAACCCGACUUCGUGAAGCUGGAUUCGCUAGUAAUCGCGCAUCAGCCACGGCGCGGUGAAUACGUUCCCGGGCCUUGUACACACCGCCCGUCAAGCCAUGGGAGCCGGGGGUACCUGAAGUACGUAACCGCAAGGAUCGUCCUAGGGUAAAACUGGUGACUGGGGCUAAGUCGUAACAAGGUAACCA
rnacentral:rRNA from 1 species